CAAUCCAUAGCCGCACAGACUUUUAGCCUGAUUUCCCACCUCCUGCCCCCUCCCGGGUUCCUGCUGAACUUCAGGGGUGCCUUCUCACACACUGAUCAUUAUUCGCAUUUUUCUCAUUAACAAUUCCUUUGUACAACUUUUUUCUUCUGGAUUUUUCUUCUAGAUCCAGCAUAAAUAUUCUUUUCAGUGAAGCCUCCAACUCCCCUUUGCAGAGUUAAGCACGACCCUCCCUGCUCCCACCACUGUGCCUCUAGAACAGCAUUACGGUCUAUGUUUCCACCAAAGAAACAGCAAACCCAUCUCAGGCUGAGUUUCUGAUUUUCAUCAGCUCAGCUCUUGUUUAAUUAAUUUGUGCUUUAGGUAUUAGCAUUUAUGUUCCGCUUACUAAAGGCAAAGUGCUAUGCUAAACAUCGUAAAGCAUCAAGGGAAAUGGUGAUGACAUUAAUCAGCUCUUGGAAAUCAUAAUGGAAUAAAGUUAAUAGAACAAUCAUAUACUUAUACUAAACAAAAGCACCCCUAGAAAAAAAGGAAAAGUCUCUAAGAGAAGCCACAUGAGAAUAGUCUCGGUUGACUAGAGCACAGGAGGCCAGAGGCUCAGUGUCCUUGCAAGUCUCUCUGAAGCAAGUUUCAUCAUCCCCCAAUCCAGCCUUCAUACUGACAUCAGAGCCUCCUUUAAAAAUGCAAAUGUGAUUGUCAUUCUGCCACUGAAAAUUGUUCAGCGCUUCCUCAUUCAACCGAGGAAUGUAGUCAAAACACUAAAGAGACACCUAGAACUUGGGACUGUCUGGUUUCUACCUAGUAUUUAGCCUUACCUCCCCCUCUCCUCUCCCAUCACACUCCUAUCCUUCCUGCAGUCUGCAUUCAGCUCCCCAGUCUGCAUUAUUCUAUCUCACAACUCCUUUAUAUUUGCCUUUAUAUUUACCGGUCACUCCAUCAGCAAUGCCCUCCUCAUGACUGUCCUAUUGACCAUAAAACAUCUCUUCCUUGGGAGUCCUAGAAACAUCACCUUCUCUGUUACGUACCUUCCUCACUUCUUGAGUCAGAUUGAGGAGUUCAUUCCUCUCUAUUAUUUGCAUUAUACCGUAAUUAUAACUUUUAUUACAAUACAUUCCCUAUACUCCUAGAAACAGACCUGGCACACAAUUGGUAAUAAUUCUUUUUGAGAAGAGUUUGAAAGAGUGUUUUAAAUUAGUGACAUGAUUUGGGAAGGAAAAUAGAGCAUUCUAGCUUCAGUCUGUUCCCAUGGUGUCAGAGGGUAUGAAUGAGUAAGCCUAAUAGCUUUUGUCACUACCAUGGACUCUUGGGGGUAAAACAGGCAUCUCGCACUGUCUGAGCCUGCACCUACACAAAGGAACUUAUCACUCUGAACACAUACAUAUUGGCACUUAAAACUUCAUUUGGUGGGACGGGGGGGGGUAACCGCAAUGAGAGACACCUGGGAGCCCUGGUUCCUGGAAGAAACCAGGUACCCAUAAGGCAGCAAGUCCCAGUGGGAUCCACUGUCACCAAAUUUGAGCUGCUGCCUCAGGGUAAUCUUCCAGGCGUGAGCUCCCUCCACACUAGAUGCAAUGUAGGUGGUCGGGUCUGGACCGUAGGUACACAGGCGAGGAGGGGCCACGCUGCCCAAGGCAUCUAAAGAGGUAUAGACAGCGUGCUCCUGCCAGCACUUAAGGGUAGCGAGAGAUCUGGAACAGGACCUAAGUCUGCAAAGACCAGUUCAGAGGAGCAGCUCUUAGGGGGACAAGACCUACACCUAACUGCACGUCCUAACCUACUAAAUCGGGAGUAUUCCCACUGAAGGCAGAGCUCCAGGUGACUCUGCCUUGCCAGGGAGCGGCUAGGAAGGGUGGGCUAAAUGCUCUAAUAAGAGACACCCGGGAGCGCUGGUGGUUGGCGAAUCCCGGGACCCCCUCAGGCAGCAACCCACUACGGGGGCUAUCUGUCCCCAGUGUGCAGCUGCAGCCUCAUAGACCUACUUGGGAGGGGGAUCUCUCCACCCUCCAGGCUCUGCAGGGCGUUGAGGCCUGGCACAGGACACCCAAGACCUGGGGGAGGGAUGCGUGCUGCCCAUGUGCGUGCGGAGCAGUUCAGGUUCGCCGGGGACUUGGAUCAGGGAGGCCAGAGCAAGCGACAGGAAGGGCCAGGUCCCAGAAGCAGGACCAUACGCUCAAUUCCAAGCCCCAACCUCCACAAAUGCCCAUGUUCCAUGAAGGCAGAGCUCAGAGAAGCCCAGAUUGCUUGGCAAGGGGUGGGCCAGGCAGACUGGGUGGGACAGCCUCUAAGAAAGCCUGUCUGGACGCCAUGGUAGCUGCAAAACCAGGCAAGGCCACACGGGGGCUCACAGGGGCUCCCGUGGAGCUGCGGCCUCAGGUGAUUUUGGGUGUGGGCGCCCCAGUACUGGAGCCUACGAGGGUUGUUAGGGACAGGCCCUCACUGCCCCAGGCUGGCUGACUAGCUGUGAACCACAUUGUGCUUGCAACACAGUUCAGGGAAACCAGCAAUCCAAACCAGGGCACUGGUCUUUAGAAGCUGGCUCACAGGACGAGGAUCUUGAGGACACAAGAAACCUACCCCUUUCCAAGCACUAAUCUACACAAACGCACAUAUUCCCCCUGAAGGCAGAACUGGAGGUUACUGGCCAGCCUUGUCAGCCAGGGCCAGACUGGCCAGGGUAUCUAUCACCUAAUAAGAGAAGCCUGGGAGUCUUGGUUGCUGGAAAAACCCAGAACCUCUAUAGGCAGCUAGUCCGAAUAGGGAGCGACUGUCGCCAAUGUGCAUCUGUGGCCUCAGGGUGAUUUUUCGGGGGUGGGAUCCCCCCAUACUGGACCUACUGCAGGUCACAUGGGACUGGCUCCGGCUACACAGGCCUGGCUGAAGGGGAUGAACAGCACAUGAGCGUGCAGCACAGUUCAGGGUAGCAAGGGACCUCCAGGAGCACGAGAAUUCUGAGAGGCUGGGUUUGUGAAGGGGUUCUUGGAGACAAGGCAUAGGUGUACUUGCAACCACUAACCACUAAAUGGAAAAUAUGCCCCCUAAAUGCAGACCUUGAAGUUCCUUAACAACCUGGUCGGGGUGGGCUGGGAGGCUGCCGUGGUAUCCACCUCUGAAGGACCCCUGGGAGCCUUGUUUGCUGGAGACGCCCAGCACCAUGUCAGGCAGCCAGUCCAAAUGGGAACUAACUGAUACCCGUUAAGCAGCUGUCUCAAAAUGAUUUUGCAGGACAGGGCACUCUCCAGUUUGAAGGCUGUGUUUGAAGGUUUUGGGGACUGGCCUACCCAAUAGGCAUGAAGGGUGCCAGCAGCCAAAGUCCAGAUGAGGACGGCACAGGCUGCCCAAGCUGGGGCGGUGCAGGCCAGGAAAGCUGCAACAGAGCUGCCACAGCGGGAUGCUGGGGUACAGGAGCGGGCUGCUGGCGUACUUGGCAUCUGCCGCAUUUCCAGCCCCAACCCGCACCAACAUGCUUCUUCCCCCUGAAGGCAGAGACGGAGGAGCCUGCCAGGCCCACUGGCUGGAGAAUGCUCCAAUUACACAAACCUUGGAGCUUCAGUUGCUGGAGAAGUUGGGGACCCAUCGGGCAGCCAGUCCACGUGUGCAUGGAUUACCCUCAAUGUACAGCUGCCUUCUCAGCAAGAAUCUGAGGGCAGGAUCCCUUCCCCCAGGAGGCCGUGCAGGUGGUUCGGGAUCUGCCCAAACCCCAUAGGCUUUCCAGCCACCCUUGGCUGGCUGAUGGGGUCUGUACUUCACAUCUCCAGGCCCGCAGGUCAGUGUUGCCAGGAACCUAAAAUAGGGCAAGUGUCUAAAUAGAGUGGGUCCUGGCAGCAGACUGUUGGGAGUACAAGGCAAUCGCCCAAUUCCAAGCCCCAGCCUACACAAAGUCUGCACUGCCUGGCCUGGACAGCGCCUGGUGGGCACAAGGUGUCCCUCACUGAGACACUUGGGAGACCGGAUUACUGGUAAGCCCCAGAACCCCAUGAGGUUCCCAUCAGGCAGUCAGUCUGCAGGGGGACUGACAGUCUUGUUUCCAAUGGAGCCUCAAAUAUUUUACCCGUGUGGGUUCCCUCCUCUUGAUAACUUUCAGGUGGUUGGGUAUCAGCCCCAGCUAUGCGUGUGUGGAGCGCCCUCUGCAGGCCGAAGCCGGCGGACAGGGUGAGGAAUGCGCAUGUGCAGGCUGCGCAGGGGAGCGUAGCCGGGGAUCUGAAAGAAAAUAGCGGAAGGGAGAGUCCGAUCGCAGGAGUGAGCUGUUUCGGGUACGUGCCAUCUAUACCAUUCCAGGCCUCAUCCUACAAAAAUGCACAUAUUCCCUCCGAAGGCAGAGCCAGAGGACAUCACACUGCCUUGCCAUCCUCUGGCCCAGCGGACUGGCUGGAGUGUCCUCCUAUGGGAUCUGAGUAGGAGCCUUGAUCUUUGUAGAAGCUAGGGACCCCCUCAUUAUGCCAGUCUAAAUUUGGACUAUCACUAUUUUAAAGCUACUUCCUCAGAUUUUCGGGGGUGAGCUCCAUUGCCUGUCCAAGUAUUUGGGGACAGGAAAGAACCCCACAGGCCUGAAGGAUCCCAUCCGCCCAAGGCUGGCUACUUACGCCUACUUACGCCUGCGUGUGCUGCACAGGUCAGAGCUAGGGACCUGUGCAGGUAAAGCGUCUGGAGCAGCCUGGUCCUAGGAGCAGGGUGAGGGGGGAUAAGCCAUCUGCCUCACGCCAAGCCCUAAUCUGCACAAAUGCGUCUGUUCCCACUAAAGGUAAAGCUGGAGGUGUAUGGACUGCCUGACCAAGACAGGACCGCCAGGCUGCUGGGAUACCCCACACUGAGACAUCGGGGAGCCUACAUUACUGUUGCUGUAGUUGGCAAGAUAAACUUCCCUGGCUGGACACUGCUGCAACAGAGAUCUUGGGAUAUCUGACAAAAGCCAGCAGAAGGAUAUAGUUGGAAACACUGGUUAUAUUACCAAGGCUUUGACUGGAAUGCCGUAUUUAAGAGAAACAUCCCUGGACUCAGAUAUGACCAGACCGCUUCAAGGAACUAGGAUUGACCUUAUGGAGCCAAAUAAAGCCCCUGGAAAAACAUCCUAAUAUCUUGCUUACAGGGUUCCCAGAAGCCUUACCAGCUCUGCAAACUCAAUGUGAAUGACUUCAUGUAAACUUCAAGAAAAUCACCACAACAGCUCAUAUAGAGACAGUCUUCAUGCCUGCUGGUCUUUGGCCAUUCCAGAAGAUUGCUGGAGACAUUCAGGCUGUAAACCAGAAAAAUCUGUCAGAUUCUCACUGCCUACUCUCUUUCUGAAGAUGCUUUGAAGCUGACAUCUAUGCAGGUGUUUGUCCACAGGCCUGGAGGGCCACGGCUGCCCACGGCUGGCAAACUAGGUAGAACUCGAGAAAUCUGGACGGCUUUACCAUGGCUGGAUUGGGAAGGCUGGCCCAAGCAUCCCCCCAAAGGGACACCUAGGAGUCUCGAUUAUUGCAGAAGCCCAGGAUCUGCCCCAAAUUGUAAGUACCUGUGGAGGCUGACUGUCACUCAUUUCAGUGGUUCCCUCAGAGUGAUUUUUGGAAAGUGGGCUUCCUCCACCAUUGAGGCAAUGCAGGUGGUUAGAGAUGGACCCUAGUUUCACAGGCCUGGACAGCCGCAGAGGGCCAAGAGCAGUCGGUAGGUUCUAGCUGCUCAUGCCCAGCACUGGAGGUCAGGGUAGCCAGGGACCCAGAACAGGGCAAUGGCAGGCCAGACCAGGUCAUGGAGCGGGCUGUUCACAGUAACUGGAGUCUGCCUAAUUCUAAGUCCAGCUGUCAGUGCCGGCGUGUGAGGCUCCUGUUGCUAGAGCGCGUAGCUGAGGCACGACAGUGCUGGUGUAGACAGACGAGAUGACCGUCUUCAGGGGCGACUGCAUAUCUCUUGCCACUGCAGGUAAGAGAGUCGCCUUGACCACAGGACCUAAUUGCCCCCUGGUCUUCCAGGGAGCUCUCUCAGAUGGGAGAAGCAGAGCCUUGCACAGAGCGAGCGCUCUCUCCUCAUCCUCAGAAACUCUUACCUGCAGUCGGAUGGCCCCGGCGCGGUUGUUCUUCAUAGGUUUUUUAUUAACCAGCCCCCAGCAGGGCCCCUCAUGAGCUGAGCUACGGAGUUCUUAGGGGUGAGAACAGAGGAGAUGACAUCCUCACACAGCUUACUUCAUUCUUGUAUCAAAACAACUUGAACCAACAUUAUUUUUUUUUUGGUCUUUGCCAUAAACAAGUGGAUUUGAAAUCAUAUUAAACCAAUACAUGAUAUGCACCCUGUGAUUUCAGAUCUUUCCCAUAUUAAUUAAUACUAAGGGCCUAAUGCCCAGUAGAAAUCUUAGUUCACAAAAAUAUUCCACCUCGUGAUUCUACAUCACUUAACAGUCUUAAUCACAAACACUCAUCUUUUGGGACUAUUUUUUGCUCAACGCACAUUCUUUUAGACCACAGUUUAAUGACCAGUUUAAGUAACCAUAUUCCCAGUAUUACAACAAAGAAGUCUUUAACAUGGUAGCCUAUCCAAUUGCCAAAUGACCAAAACUUAACCUCCUUAAGCCACUCUGUUUAACUUUCUUGACAAACAUGUUUCUAAAUAAAGAUCACUUUUAUAAAGCUUCGGGGGUGCAAGCUUGCAUAAAACCCUAUCAAGUAUGUGCCAGUUGCCAUAACACCAGAAUUCAAGGCAAUCAUCAUGUUAGGGAAUGUGUGUUUCUGUUCUCUUUUCAAUUCCUGCCACGUUAUUUUGACUUUAUUAGUCUCAUCUUCCAAGUGCGUCUUAAGUUUUCUAAUACAGGAUUUAUAUUUAUUAGAUUACAUUUAUUAGAUUUUAGGAGGUUCAGUGUGAAAUAUUUCUCUGGUUAUUUUCAUAGUUCCUUUAUCUUCCAUUGACUACAAACAACAUCUUUUUUCUUCUAUGGUCAGAUUCGCUACCUAUUCUAGUUUUGUGUACCUUGUUUUUCCCUUGACUCCAAUAGGCUGAGAGCAAAUAUUCUGAUCCAGCUUCCUCCUGGUUGAGGAGGCGUCAGGGCCAUGGUCAUAGGUACCUGUACCGUAGGUCUGUCCACAUCCACAGUCCAGUGGUAAUAAAGGUGUUCUGAUUCUGUUCCAACCACACAUCCUUAGGAACACGUUUUCCUUCUAUCAUAAAGGGGUUUUCUGUGGCCUCGACUCUCCCUUUUGAUAUUGCAGAACCUCGAAAGUGUGAUAACCCGUGUCAUAGUUCCCCCUUUAAGUGCCAGUAUUCAUCUUACAGUUGCCCAAGGAAUCACAGCCAUUAGGAUGUGUGGUAUCUGAUUUCUGCUUGUGUUCUCUCAGAAGACCAGCAUUGCCCUAAGAUUUUUGCUGUUCUGAGUAUUCCCCACAUCAGCCAAAUCUUAACUGCAACAUUAACAGCCUACAGUUUUAGAGAAACAUCUUUAAAAUCCUUUCUUACUAUUUCAUUAUUUUUAGUGUUUUCUCCAACUGCUUUAUGUCAAAUUCCUACUGCUCUGUUUGCUUCAGUGUGAAAUUCAUUUAUAUUGCCUGGCAUAUCCAUCUAUGCACCCAACUGUGACAAAGCUGUCAUUGCACGUGUGUUAAACUGAGGUUGGUUUCAAUUUUUUUUUAAAUUUAUUUGAUCAAUUUGGAAUUGCAAAAAAGUGGCUGCCAUUGUUCCUCCAAUGGAACCCCUACCAAUCUAACAUGAGCUGUAAGGUUUUUUUCCUUCUUUUUAGGGAAUCUGUUUUUGGUAUAGGUUGUAAUUGGGCAUAAAUGAAGGUGGAUAAAACUGAGCACAGUUUGGGGAUCUGUAUCAGAAUUGAAGGUCCUGUAUAUUAAAUUUCAAGGUAUUGGCUACUAUUAUGACCAGGAGAAGUUUUACUAACAAAAAUGUUCCCAUAUUCUUAGGGUAGAAUUCUGUGAUAUGAGAUAGAAGCCUGAAGUCUAUACCAUGAAAGAUAAUGAAAUGUAAUAUAUGCUACGUUUCCUAUGAGUCCUCUUUACCCCUUACAAGGUGUCCCUCUUCUUUUAAAGUCUGGGCAUAGAGGCCGUGGUUUUCUAAUAGGUCGCUGUGGAUUAAAUAGUGUAAGUUGGGAGUAUAGUAAAUAAUCAUUUUUUGCUUAUUGAAAGACAUAAUUGCCCAUUCUGUGUAUUCAGCAGCUCCUUUUUUUUUUUACAAAAUGUUAGAUCAGGAACUAAAGUAGGGUUAUUUUAACAGAGUCUCUGCCACGUGUCCAGUGCUACACUCAGUUCAGUAAGAUAACAGGGCAAGAGCCAGUACCUGGUCUUGUAUUUAGUAGCAUUUAGUAGUUCAGACCAGUCAUCACCUCCCACAUCAGUGUCUGGUGGGCAUGUCGUUCAGGAUCCUCGUUACUUCUUGCAGAGAUUGAAGUGCAGGGUUCCACUUCUUCGGCUCCCCUAAGUCUUUGGUCUCUCCAUUGGUUGAAGGGUUCUCAUGGAAUGGUGGCUAGUGAAGGGUGUGGUGAGGGUUGGGCUGGAGUAUCCUGGUGAUGACGUUGCUGGUGAGUCCUCAGUGGCCAGAAGGUGAUCAGGAUGGAGGAAGUAGAGGACGUCACGGACAGUGGAGUCAUACCUGGAUCAGAAGGUGACAUUCCACCUCGGAAUGGCGGCACGGCUGCUACUGCUGAAGCUGUCACAAGUACUCUUAGCUGCAGUGAGUAUGGUAUCCAGCAGUGAGCAGUAGGCAAACCAGAAUAGCCAGCAGGCAGCAGGCUGGACUCACCAGCUUACUAGUCUUGGCAGGGUUAAAUAUGCAGAGCAGAUUCAGGCCUGCAAAAUAGAGAGAGUGUCCUAUAAAUAUUCCUUUCUUGUUGCUUUUUCUAUUCUAAGAUAUCUAUAAUUAUUAUGGACAUUAUUGCCAAUAUUUCCCCAAGCAUAAUAGCCCUGAGUCAAGCUAGACUAAAUAUUAGGCAUCUAGUGUUGAUACAAUAAAAGUUGGAGUUCUUCAUGCCUGAAAUUUGUAUAAAGGCACCUUAUUUUCUUUAACUUGAUGUAAUAUGCUUUUUCCUUCAGUUACCCAGUAGGUUUUAUUAGUAACAGGUGCUAUGAUUCCCCCAAACUGUAUGUAUCAUUUUUUAAAUUAAUACUUUCCCUUUAAAUUUCUUUUCUGGACUGUUGUUAGUGCUGAAUAGUGCUUAUUUCUGUGAGUGCCUGAAAUAUGAAUGCGAUAGUUUUUCCAGCCUUUCCAUAUCCAUGGCUUAGAUAUUUUGGUUUAGUCCAAGCUUUCAUAUCUGGAUUGUUAGUGAGCAGCCUAAGCUUUUGCUUGAGAGAGCCAUUACACCUUUCAGUGAAUCUAGAGGCAGUGGGGUUAUAGGGUAAAUAGAAGCUCUACAUGAUGCCUUCUUAGCUUUUGUAUGAACUGGGUACCCUAAUCUAAUUUUAUGGUGGUUAGGAUACCAUAGCCAGCAAUCUAGGUGUCUAAUGCUCUGACGGUUCACUUUUGAUCAUUGUUCCUACAAGUAUUGGGUAAUCCUGUUCCUGACCAUGUGCCUACAGUUGUGCGUGCAUACAGUUAAUUAUCUG